AGAAGGUGGCUUUUUGGUUUGAGCAGUUGCCUUGUAAUCAAGAGAUCCAGGUUCGAACCCUGGUUCUU
rnacentral:tRNA from 1 species